GAUGAACGCUGGCGGCGUGCCUAAUACAUGCAAGUCGAGCGAACAGAUGAGGAGCUUGCUCCUCUGACGUUAGCGGCGGACGGGUGAGUAACACGUGGAUAACCUACCUAUAAGACUGGGAUAACUUCGGGAAACCGGAGCUAAUACCGGAUAAUAUAUUGAACCGCAUGGUUCAAUAGUGAAAGACGGUUUUGCUGUCACUUAUAGAUGGAUCCGCGCCGCAUUAGCUAGUUGGUAAGGUAACGGCUUACCAAGGCAACGAUGCGUAGCCGACCUGAGAGGGUGGACGGGCACACUGGAACUGAGACACGGUCCAGACUCCUACGGGGGGCCGCAGUAGGGAAUCUUCCGCAAUGGGGGAAAGCCUGACGGGGCAACGCCGCGUGAGUGAUGAAGGUCUUCGGAUCGUAAAACUCUGUUAUUAGGGAAGAACAAAUGUGUAAGUAACUAUGCACGUCUUGACGGUACCUAAUCAGAAAGCCACGGCUAACUACGUG
rnacentral:rRNA from 1 species